AGAAUUGUGAGAUGCCGUGAUCUUUUUACUUUUGUGACUUCAGCAGCUGGUCACAUGAUGAGGACUUUGCAAAGACCACGUAAAAACAAGCCAUCAAAACGACAAGUCAAUCAUCGCAGGUUUCUGCACAACAUGAUACAGAGAAAAUUUGCUGAAAUAGAGGCAGCGAACCAUCAGCUGGCGUCUGCUUUAUUUGCAACUGAUAAACCCCCCGAUCAUCUAACUCCCAGACUAUCUCACAUUGUAACGGAAGUCACAGACCAGUCACCCAAACCUUCAAAAAAAGCUAUUGAAACUUGUAUAAAUGCUGACAAAACCGAAGCGCUUCCUGAACAACAAGAGGAUGUGUGUGACCUCUGGACAUUGGACAGUCUUUUGGACACCCAUGUGGCUGAUAAAAGUUUCUCACCGUGCAAGUUCUCCAACAGUAGAGGAAGAAAUCCGAGAACUGAGAAAGACGGCAAAGCUUUGAAAAACAACCCUGAAAGCUCAAUGGAGAAGGACAUCGACUUCAGCUUCAGCUUCGAAAGGCAGCCAGCAUCUACUGAUUUUGAAAGCUUGACACAAAUGAACGACAGUCUCCUAGAGGACAGCAUGUCCUCCUGGUUUGGGUCCAUUGAAAGAACAAGAACAUAUUCAAAACCAUAUCUCACCAAGUACCAUGACGUGAAGUUGCUCCCCACAGACGUUGAUGUUCAAGACCUGUCACCUCCUUCUCCGGUGGUUUCACUCUUGUCUUUGGAUUCAUGUGAUUUGGAGGUUCAGAUGCUCAUAGAUGCAGAGCACAAUGUGAACCAAAUGCAAGAUGCCACCAUCGUAGAGAGUCUCCAAAUGGAUAUGGUGGAUGACCUUGACCUCUUGGAUAAAAUGGCUGAGUGGAUGGAUCACAGUGAAGAGGAUGGACGAUGUUUACAGGAAACAUGUGAGUUUCCAAGCUCUCUGGAUUCAGAUCUAGAGAACCUAACAGGUUCUGGUGGUGAGGCCACCAACUCCAUGUCCAAUUUGGGCCAAACGGGUCAUUCAUUUUUUGCUAAUGUUCUCUGUAGUCAAGAGCCACAUAGACGUAGUUUCCAUCAUGAUCAAAUAAACUAUGCUAUGAACCACAAUAUCAUUCUAGAAGACCGGUUUGGUCAGGCUGAACCUUGCAUGAAGACGAAUGGAAAGGAGGAUUGUUAUUUAGAUACAGAUUUUUCUGUCAUGGAUGGUAAUGUUUCAAGCAACCACAUGUUCCCAGGAUUUGAGAGACAGUUGGACCAAUCCAAAAGCAUUCUUCAUGACGACUGGGAACAGCAACCUCUAAAAAGUUCAUACAAGAACUAUACAAGUACAGAUCAGAUUAUGAUGCAAGAAACUGAUAUCAGAAAUGUUGACAAAAACAUUGUGCAGGUUGAGAAUCUCAACCAGACUUUAUCAGGCCCCCAAUGCCCGAUAACAUGCUGCCUUGAAGGCUUUUGUUAUCAUAAAGAAGACUCGUGUUUUUACACAAAAUUCAGAGGCAGUCACAACUUUGAGGGCGUGGCUAGAUCUUUCCCAGCCACACUGCAUAAGCUCCACCCCACUCCAAUUCCGACUCCACCUCUAGAUGAUGAUUGGUUGUUUAGUAAUAUUGUGGCAGAGGAAGAGGUAAAUAGCAUGAAUAAUACAUUUGGAAAGUACUGAUCAGUCAAUGGACAGUAAUUGUUGUUUUCAUGAAUUUCAUUGUACCUGGGGAUGUUUGAUUUUUACACUUUUGUGAUUUUAUGAUCAUUUCUGUGAAAUGUUCUUGUCUGUGGUGUGAAAAAUUGAAUAUUUUCUGUAAUAAAAACUGUAUGAGUAUUGUAACAUAAUACAAAAAAAAAAUUUAUUUAAAUGGAUCAAUUUACUUUUCAAAUGUAAAAUUAUUGUAUUUAAAGAGCCCUGUGAUGGACUGGCCAUCAGUUCAGUGUUUCAUUGUCUUUGGUCCAAUAUGGUUGGACAGGCUUAAAAAAUUGCUUUAAAAGUUAUUAAAAUAUUAUUUUAUUUUUGCGUUUAAGUUACAUUAUGAACAUGAAUUAAACUUUGAAAUUUUAAAUGUCUGUUUAUUUAUCAAUUUAAAGUGAUUUAUUGUUAUACUUAACUACACUUUUAAAUGUAAAAUGAAGUUUUAAAUAUCUAUUUAUUCAUUUGAAAAGCGAUUUAUUGAUUAAUUAAUUUAUUCAUUUACUAUUAUUUUAUUUUAUUUUUAGAUAU
rnacentral:lncRNA from 1 species